rnacentral:rRNA from 1 species
UACAGAGGGGGCAAGCGUUGUCCGGAGUUACUGGGCGUAAAGGCACGCAGGCGGUCAUGUAAGUCUGUUCUGACAGCUCCCGGCUCAACCGGGAGAGGCGAACGGAAACUGUAUGACUUGAGGACUUCAGAGGGACACGGAAUUCCGGUGGAGUGGUGAAAUGCGUAGAGAUCCGGAGGAACACCAAAGGCGAAGGUCAGUGUCCUGGGAAAGGUACCUCGAG